rnacentral:lncRNA from 1 species
CUCCUCACCAUCAUCCUCCUCUUCCACAAAUUUCUUGGUGACUCGGGGUACCACCUCGCCUUCAUCAUUGUAUUCUUCCUCUGACUCCUCAGCCUCGCUUUCCACAAAAUCAGACAUUGCUGCAGCUUCUCACUCUGCCUGAAGAUAACUAGGGAAAGAAAAGAGUGAAGGAUAAAAAAACGGACACAUGAUUGUACAGAGGGCUCUUAAACCUUCCCACAAACAGCCUUUUAGCAACCUGCCACUGCUCUGCCCACUCAACAUUCCCACUUGGGGAGAAGAAAAGAAGAAUCUGAUGGUUCCAACUCUUCCAUUAUCCAUUCCUCCCAGCAUUGCUUCUCUCAUAUGUACUUUUUUUUUUUUUUUUUGAGGUGGCGUCUCACUCUCUCACCCAGGCUGGAGUACAGUGGCGCAAUCUCCGUUCACUGCAACCUCCACCUCCUGGGUUCAAGUGAUUCUCCUGCCUUAGCCUCCCGAGUAGCUGGGAUUAUAGGCAUGCGCCACCAUGCCUGGCUAAUUUUUGUACUCUUAGAAGAGAUGUGGUUUCAACACGUUGGCCAGGCUGGUCUUGAACUUCUGAACUCAGGUGAUCUGCCCACCUUGGCCUCCCAAGGUGCUGGGAUUACAGGCGUGAGCCACCGCACCCGGCCUCAUACGUACUUUCAAAAAGAAGGCAAAAGCCAGGCUACUCAGGAGGCUGAGGCAGGAGAAUCUCUUGAAUCCGGAAGGUGGAGGUUGCAGAUUGCGCCACUGCAUUCCAGCCUGGCGAGAGAGUGAGACUCUGUCUUAAAAAAAAAAGCCAUUAGGCCAGGCGUGGUAGCUCACUCCUAUAACCCCAGCACUUAGGGAGGCCAAGGCAGGUGGAUCACCUGAGGAAUAAUGCUUAUUACACACCUACCAAGUGCCAGACACUAACAAAUACCCUACUAUUUUAUGUCCCUAUCAAGGAGAACAAGUAUUCUAUUAAUCCCUACACUGUCCUAUGAGUUACAGCACACUUCUCUCUCAACAGAGGAGGAAACAGACUCAGAGAGAUGUAGUCAUUUGUUCAAGGUGACAAAACUAUCAUCUGUAAGUGCUGAGGUCUGUCUGACUCUUCAUGGUUGACAGUACCACAUCUAUCAAUAGUUUUCAGGGCGUGGUCCAGGGGCCAGUCCCUCUGUUCUCUCAGGAGCAUAGAGUGGAGUUUUCCAGAGGUUAUAGGACAUGUGGU